rnacentral:sRNA from 1 species
AUAUCUCUCUGUACGGGAAGGAUGAGAAGCUUCGACUAAGGUUCGAUUCGAGCGCAGCGAGAAAGCGUUGCCGCAGGCAACGACCCGAAGGGCGAAGCGCGCAGCGCUGAGUAAUCCUUCC